GAGAACAUAAGUUUCAUAAAUUAUAAAGUGAUAAAAUCAUAUUCUAUUUGAUACAUGCAAAGGUUGGAAAAUAUGUUUAAAAUUAUCGAGUUUAUUUGUGUUAUGAUUAUUCUUCUUUCCCUAUUUCUUGUUGCAACAAGUAUUAAAUGUAAGCAUUUUUAUCUCCCUUACAAAUUUCCUUAUUUCCUUCGUACACACUAUUUUAUUCCAUUUUAAUAAAAUUUUAUUUCCUCACUUUUUUACAUUAUAGUGGGACAUGAAUGUGUUUAUGCUAAAGAUUGUAUCGAGCUACGAUGCCCAUAUCCUUCUAAACCGAGGUGUCUUAAAAAUAAGUGUGUAUGUCGUUAUUAAUUAUUAAUUAAGCACCAUAGAUUCUGAGAAUAAACAAACAUACUACUAUAAUAUUCUAUGAGUUGUUAUGUAGCUAUUGUUAUGCGACACCCAUUAAUUUAAUUUUCUUUUAGCUUUCAAAUUUCACGGACCUUAUUAUUAUGUGCUAUAAUAAAAUAAUAUGAUGCUACUGAAAUGAAAUAAAGUAUUAAAGAAUAUUAUGUGUAUUAUUGGAUUCUCCUUUAAUAUCAAUUAAAAAAUAUCACAUUUUCUUUCCUAUUCUCCCACUUAUAUUAAAAUGCUUAUUCUAACAUAAAAGACAUUCUCAUGUCUUGUAUGGUGCACCACAUAUUUUAAUUUUUAGGUCAAAUUAUCUCACAAGAUCUUAUCAUGGACCCUCAACACUAUAUCAACUCUCAUUGUUUAUUUUUUGAAAAAUCACACUCAAUUAUUUUUUCUCCUUCUUCUUCACUAUGGUGAAAGAAAAACAAAAUCAGCAAUCAUUUUAAAUUUCAAGAUUUAUAGUCUUAAAUUAUCAAGAUCUGAAUUUUUCUACAAUAGCAUUCAUCCUUCAAAAUCUUCAACAGAGACACUCUCCUCGCACAUCACAAAAUCUUCAACUUUCAUUUGCUUUUAAUUGAUUUGUGCUUGAAAGAUUGUGAUAUGCAACACCCCCAAUCUUUGUACUUAUAACUAAGAAUGAUUCGAUUUGCCAUUGUAUUAGUUAACACAAUCCUCGAGGUUCGAUCUUUAUUACUACUUGAGCGAUAAACUAGUGCACUUGCUAGUCAACAAUUAUCUUUCAUUUAAAAAAGGGACAAAUGGAGACGAGAGUAUAAAUAAUAUUCUUUGAUGCGUUAUUUCAUUUCAGUUGCAUCAUAUUAUAGUACAAAAAAGGUUCAUGAAAUUUUAAAAGUUAAAAGAAAAUUAAAUUAU
rnacentral:lncRNA from 1 species